AGAGGGUGCUUUUGGCUCAGGAUGAACGCUGGCGGCGUGCUUAACACAUGCAAGUCGAACGAAGCACUUUAUUUGAUUUCCUUCGGGACUGAUUAUUUUGUGACUGAGUGGCGGACGGGUGAGUAACGCGUGGGUAACCUGCCUUGUACAGGGGGAUAACAGUUGGAAACGGCUGCUAAUACCGCAUAAGCGCACGACAUCGCAUGAUGCAGUGUGAAAAACUCCGGUGGUAUAAGAUGGACCCGCGUUGGAUUAGCUAGUUGGUGAGGUAACGGCCCACCAAGGCGAUGAUCCAUAGCCGACCUGAGAGGGUGACCGGCCACAUUGGGACUGAGACACGGCCCAAACUCCUACGGGAGGCAGCAGUGGGGAAUAUUGCACAAUGGGCGAAAGCCUGAUGCAGCGACGCCGCGUGAGCGAAGAAGUAUUUCGGUAUGUAAAGCUCUAUCAGCAGGGAAGAUAAUGACGGUACCUGACUAAGAAGCACCGGCUAAAUACGUGCCAGCAGCCGCGGUAAUACGUAUGGUGCAAGCGUUAUCCGGAUUUACUGGGUGUAAAGGGAGCGCAGGCGGUGCGGCAAGUCUGAUGUGAAAGCCCGGGGCUCAACCCCGGUACUGCAUUGGAAACUGUCGUACUAGAGUGUCGGAGGGGUAAGCGGAAUUCCUAGUGUAGCGGUGAAAUGCGUAGAUAUUAGGAGGAACACCAGUGGCGAAGGCGGCUUACUGGACGAUAACUGACGCUGAGGCUCGAAAGCGUGGGGAGCAAACAAG
rnacentral:rRNA from 1 species